CGCGAGGUAGCUUAAGUAGUAAAGCCCCCGACUGUGACUCGGGUGAUUCGGGUGCAAGUCCCGGCCUGUCGCCAU
rnacentral:tRNA from 1 species